ACACCUCAACUCUCACGGUUCGCCGUGACGAGCUUGGACUUUGGAGGCUUUGCUGGCCUGUGGGUCGGCUCCUCUCAAAUGAAUCAGCUUACCGGUGUAUUGGUGGCGUCACAGGUGUGAUAACUAUCUACGCUUGCGGUCGCCCGCCAGACAACCUCUGCCAUCGUCGGAGGUUUGCCGGAGGCUCACAAACGUCUCCCGAGCGGAGACAGCCUUCUGAAC
rnacentral:misc_RNA from 1 species